AUUUUUAUAUAUUGUACAAUCCCUUGAUUUUAUCAUGGAGUACACCGUAAGUCGAUUUUUAAAAUUUAAAAUUUAAAAUUAUAUAUGAUUUUUGUUAAGAUUGUUUCUUUUGUCAUAUAUUUUAAAUUAUAUCAUUGUAUUUUAAUUGUUAGUUAUAGGAUUUCACCCGUUGUAUAACGUGUCGUAUUACUAUAAACUCAAACCCGUCUUACCAUCUAAUACCGUUCAAUGAAAUUAAACAUAUUUAAUGGAUUUCAUCCUAGGUAUACUGUCUAAUAUUACUAUCGACCCAAACCCGUUCUACCAUCUAACCCCGUUCAAUAAAAUUAAAUAUUA
rnacentral:sRNA from 1 species